rnacentral:rRNA from 1 species
CCUACGGUGUGCAGCAGUGAGGAAUAUUGGUCAAUGGGCGCGGGCCUGAUCCAGCCACGUCGCGUGAAGGAUGACUGCCCUCCGGGUUGUAAACUUCUUUUAUAAAGGAAUAUAGUGAGGCACGUGUGCCUUUUUGCAUGUGCUUUCUGCAUAAGGACAGGCUAACUCCGUGCCAGCAGCCGCGGUAAUACGGAGGUUCCGAGGGUUAUCCGGAUUUAUUGGGUUUAAAGGGAGCGUAGAUGGGUUGUUAAGUCAGUUGUGAAAGUUUUGGGCUCAACCGUUAGAUUGCAGUUGAAACUGGCAGUCUUGAGUACAGUAGAGGUAGGCGGAAUUCGUGGUGUAGCGGUGAAAUGCGUAGAUAUCACGAAGAACUCCGAUUGCGAAGGCAGCUAACUAAGCUGCCACUGACAUUGAGGCUCGAAAGUGUGGGUAGCAAACAGGAUUAGAUACCCCAGUAGUC